UUCAGCUGUUCUUCAGAGAUGGAUGACCUGGAUAGGACGAUCCGGAUUGACAUCAUGUGGAGGGAUGCACUUGGUAUUCCUUCGAGGAGGAGGAGCCCGUCUGAGGAGGACCAGCUGUUUGAGGAACUGAUGGAAGAGGGACGACUGGAUGAGGAGAGGCUUCGUUUGAUAGAUGAGAGCUUGCGGGCGGCCGAGGAGGAGCUGCGGCUACUGAGAGAAGAGAC